ACGUGCUAGUGUAUACAUACGUACGUGUUAGUGUACACAUACUUGCAUAUUUUUUUUUUUUUUUUUUUUUUUUUUUUUUGUAACAGUUAUGAUUUUAAUGAUGCCAUUUUGGAAAGUAAAAGUGAUAAGGAAUUUAAAAAAGGUUACAAAAUAUCUCGAACUGUAUUGUUUUGUAAUCAUUUAUCAUCUUUAGACCCAUGGCUUGUUAAUAAAAUAACAAUAUUUUCAAAUUCAGUAUUCAUUUUCAAAUCAUCGUUGUAUAAAAUACCUAUUGCUGGUCAAGGAUUAUAUUUGUCAGCAAAUAUCCCUAUUUAUUUUACGAGUGAAAAAGGUGGAUGGGGGGUAAAACCAGGGAGUAUAAACGAUGUUAUGAAAAAAGCUAAAGAGUUAAAUGAUAAAAAUAUGUCUUUACUUAUAUAUCCCGAAGGUACGAGAUCAAUGAAUGGUAAUCUACAAAUGUUCAGACCAGGUUUUUUUAGAUAUGCAAUUGAAAACAAUGUAGAAAUACUACCUUGUGCUUUACAUGCAACAAAUAAAUUGUGGCCACUUAAGACGAUGUUGGUAAACCCAGGGACUAUAUAUUUUUCAUUUGGUGAGCCCUUUUAUCCUACUCCUGGCAUGUCCGUUGACGAAUUGAAAGAAAAAACAAGAAACAUGGUGUUUAAUUUGAUUAAAGAAUUUCCAGACUAUGAUCCCAAGUACGACAGGUUAGCUAAAGCACCUGUAGCUGCAAGGGGUCACGGAAUAUAACUAUCAGUUUUAUUUUUUUUUUAGUUAUAUUUUUAAUAUUAAUUAAAAACAUGUGUGCCUUGUUUUUUUUAUGUUUAAUACACACUUAUUUUUUUUUUAUUUUAUUGUUGUUUUUCAUCGUAUUAAUUGUAAUAGCUUUUUAAAUUUUAAUAGUUAUAUAUAUAUAUAUAUAUAUUUUUUUUUUUUUUUUUUUUUUUUUAUUGACCAAAAAUGGGACAUAAAAAGGUUACUAAUUAAAAGUCCCAUAAAUGUAUCUCUUAAUUUAUUUUUAGUGUAUAUUUAGUUUAUGUGAAUUAUUUUUUUAAUAUAUAUUCUUAAUUUAUAUGAUUGUGUAUAUAAUUCGUGCAAUUGCGCACCUAAUUCAUACAAUUAUGUACCUAAGUUGUGCGAUUUUGCAUCUAAUACGUACGAGUAUGCACCUAAUUCUUACGGUUAUGUAUCUAAUUUAUAAAAAGAAAAAAAGUUAUUUACUGAGAAAAUAAUCAAUAGUUGGAGAAAACGGAAAAGUAACAGAAUAAUAUACAUAUAUAUAUCUACCUUUAGGUAGAAGUUAACGAAAUGACCAUUUCAAUGGUGUUGUUUUACUUUUUAUUACUAAUUUGUAUAAAUAAAAAAAAUUGGCACUUAAGGGAGUUAUACA
ensembl:lncRNA